UCAACCGAACGUUAAACGGAACCCUGUGGGAAUCCUCAUCCUUCACCCUUCAUGCACACUAUCACAUUCUGAGCUCAAAAGCCAUGCCUUUUCUGGACUAGAAAUCAGAAAGUGUGGUAUGAAGACAUGGUUCUGGCACUUAAAUUUGUGAUCAUGGAAAACAACAGGAGAAAUUGAUGAAGACCCAGAGGGACCAGAAGGGGAACAGGAAAGAAAAGGAUGGGGGAAGAGAAGACAAAUUUAGAAGUGGUCAUAGGGCAGCCAGGUACACAGGACGUCCUGCACAAAGUACUCUGACUUCUGGUCCCAGGAUGUGAUGGACAAGAGAGCAUCAGGAGCGACAUCUGUAAAUUGUAAACCAAUUGAGAAAUAAAAGUCGGGAGAAA